UACGUAGGGCGCAAGCGUUGUCCGGAAUUAUUGGGCGUAAAGAGCUCGUAGGCGGCCUGUCGCGUCCGCUGUGAAAUCCCGGGGCUUAACCCCGGGCGUGCAGUGGAUACGGGCUGGCUGGAGGCAGGCAGGGGGGAACGGAAUUCCCGGUGUAGCGGUGAAAUGCGCAGAUAUCGGGAGGAACACCAGUGGCGAAGGCGACUGCCUGGACCUUUGCUGACGCUGAGGCACGAAAGCCAGGGGAGCAAACGGG
rnacentral:rRNA from 1 species